ensembl:snoRNA SNORA74 Small nucleolar RNA SNORA74
UCCAGCAGUAGUCAGCUGUCCGGACAGAAUCAUUCCUGUGAUGGUGUUACACUGCUGGGAGAGGAAUGUCCUGUCUUCUUCCUCCAGUUGCCUCUGCCACUGUUCUGGUGGCAUCUGGCACUGGUGCAAGGCAGAACUGUGCUUCCUUGAGAGUGUGCUAAGCAUUCACUUUGGCUGCUUAGUUCUAGUCUGGAAGCAGACACA